rnacentral:lncRNA from 1 species
UCCUUUGGGCCGAAACAGAAGACCGUGAGGUCCCCUCGUUGGCUGGCCGGCCGACGGUGCAGCCGGCGUGGGGCGGCCGUCGGCAGGAGGGGGGUGACUCGCCGAUAAGAAGAGAGCCAAAUCAGUGGUCGGCGGUGACCACCGACGUCGGUAAUCAAAGGGAAAACGGUCAAAAAUGAAAGUUACUUCCGCAACAAAAUCCGACGACUCCGGUCGCCGACGAGCAUGCACAUCGGCACGGGAAGGA